rnacentral:lncRNA from 1 species
GUUUUAAUAUUAUAUUUUAAUGAUUUAUUCAAUGAUUUCUUUUCAACUUUGUCAUUUACAAUUUUUAAUAGUUUAAGUUUUAGUUAACAAUAACAAUGCUCUCGUAAACACCCGGCAGUUUCACAUUUGGUGAAACUCUGCUCUAAGUCAUUAUCGUAUUAUGUUAUUAUUUAAUCUAACAUUUAUUUAUUUGUUUUAAACUUCUGCAUUCAGUAGACACUUUUAUCUGAAGUGGCUUAUAGUGCAAUCAAGUCGCACAUUUAUUGUUUGAAAGCUGUCGUGGGAAUUAAACCCAUCACCCUACAGGCUGAGCUAAAGGAACAUCUGCAGUAACUCAGACGGCUUUGUCAGUUUUGGUUUGGCAUUUGUUACCAUUUUUGUUUCAUUUAUAUGUCUUAACCCUUUUUUUUUUUUUUUUUUUUUUUUUUUAUUAUGUUGUAUUUCCUUAGAUAACAUCUGCAGUAACUCAGACGGCUUUUGCUAGUUUUUGGGUUUGGCUAUUUGUUACCUAUUUUUGUUUCUAUUUAUAUGCUUUUUAACCUUUCCUUUUUUAUUUUUUUUUUUUUUAAUUAUGUGUAUUUCCUAGAUAAUGAUAACUUUUAACUUAAUAGGGUAAUAUCAAUGUUUUGGACAUUUUCAUAUGUAAAUGUAUUCUUUGAAUAAUUUUAGAGUACCAUGUAAAUGCUGUUGUGCACAUGGUAAUCAUGUAGUACCAUGGUUUUACCAUCACUAGCUGCAUUUCCAUUACAGAUUUGCACAAAACAUUUGCAAUAUUUUAUAAAGUUGAUAAAGAAACUAUUGUGAAAUGACAAUGUUUCCAUUAACCAAAGUUAUGUAAAUUUUUCCUGAAAAACGACCUCAUGUGAGUGUAAAAGCUUUUUAGCGACAUAUAGGACUUUUGGCAAAAUUGACGUGUUUCCAACAGACGUAUUUUUGGAAAAUGGAAACUCAGUUAGUGACUGUACUGUGGCAUGGCCGCAGUGCUUCUCCGUAAUGAUUUGAGAGCACUGUUACAGUCAGAAGGACACUUGAGCUUGGGCUCGGACAGUAAGCAGUUGUCUUCAGGAUUAAUUAAUUGCCAGCUCUUAGUGAACAGAUGUCUUUGUGUGUGUGUGUGUGUGUGUGUGUGUGUGUGUGUGUGUGUGUGUUGUCUCUGUUUGUGUUUCAUGGGUGAUAUUUUGAAUAUUCAUUAUUUAUUUUGCAAUAGUUUUGCUGGUGGUAUAAAAUAUAGUAACAUUGUGAAUAGCCUAAUGCACAUUUUAUUUGGACAUUUAAAUUGCAGAUUGGUUUUUGAAAUAAAGUGGGUAGUAGUUCUGAUCUAUGCUAUUGAGGUGAUCCAGUCCAUGAAACUUCUUCUAUAUGUCUAUACAUUUCAUAUGUAUGUAUAUGUAUAUCUAUAUCAUCAUAUCUCAUAUGAGUGUACAUCAUUUUACAUUUAUAUUAAAGUGCAAAUUAUUCUUUAUAUCUAA